GAUGAAGAACGUAGCGAAAUGCGAUAAGUAAUGUGAAUUGCAGAAUCCAGUGAAUCAUCGAAUCUUUGAACGCACAUUGCGCCCGCCAGUAUUCUGGCGGGCAUGCCUGUCUGAGCGUCAUUUCAACCCUCAUGCCCCUAGGGCGUGGUGUUGGGGAUCGGCCAAAGCCCGCGAGGGACGGCCGGCCCCUAAAUCUAGUGGCGGACCCGUCGUGGCCUCCUCUGCGAAGUAGUGAUAUUCCGCAUCGGAGAGCGAUGAGCCCCUGCCGUUAAACCCCCAACUUUCCAAGGUUGACCUCAGAUCAGGUAGGAAUACCCGCUGAACUUAAGCAUAUCAAUAAGCGGAGGA
rnacentral:misc_RNA from 1 species